GCAUCACAUUAUUAAAGUUUACUAUCCCCAUUGGAAGGGGGAAUUAAAUUUCUGUUCACAUUAGAUCCUUUCAAAGAAUUCUAUUGGGAUUAUACUUAUUGAAAGGUGUCGCAUUGUGUUCGCUUUGGGAGUUAUGUAAUCUCAUGCUGAUUCUAGAUCCCACCUUUUGUGAGGCAAAUAGAACAGGACUUUCAUGGUCAGAACAUGAGAGGUAAUUGGUUUGACCUUUGAGAUAGCUAUAUGCAGCACACAUAUUUCACUGUGAUCUAGCCCGGCCUUAUGGAGAACGUACAUUGCAGGCUUUUUUAUAACUUGGAAUUUACUCAUGCUUCCCCAACACAUUUAUUUAGAACAAUUAGUAUUCUCACUGUAACUAUACCGUGUUCAGAAGUUGUUCGAUAUACAGGAUAAUUCGAUGUAAACGGGUUCGAUAUAGUUGGGUUCGACUGUACACAGUUCAUGUUCAUAAUGAGAUUGUUUCAUGUUUAAUGAACAAAUUGUUCUUGAUCUUCUAAGCAUUUCUUUGUUUCUCUUUAACGUUCUGAAUAGGGUUUAUUAGUAUUGUAUGGCCAUAGUAUUGUUACCCAGCACCUCCACCACUUAUGAGGCGACGUCCGGUAUGACAGUAGAGAGGUUAUAUUCAACGCAGUCGCGCGAGGCAAAAGCGGCGCAGCCUGCAUGACAAAAGAUAAUGAUGAUUACGAUGUUUUGUAUAUACAGAUGAAGACGAUGAAGUGCAUAGUCAGCGCUCACAGUAUGUUAAAAUCUAAAUGAGAUUAAGCAUUAGUUUAUACUAAUGGCAUUGCAAGGACAAAGAAAGUUCCAAUGAUGUUAUUGCACAGGAGCGGUGCCAGUACUCUUUUACUGGGGGCCACCCACAACAAGCAGGUCCCUUAGCUAGGGGGUGGGGGGCGCCCUCUGUGCCCCUGCUGGUGCCACCUAAAGCCACAAAAGCCAUAUUUAGUCACAGAGGUAAAGCUUACACAAUUCUUUGUAUAUACUGUCACUCCUUAACUGGCAUAAUCACACACGGAUGGAACAUACACAAGGUUUCUCUGUGGUAAUGUAAAUUUGAAGCUGUGUGGUGUACAGUAAGUGGUGUGCAUACAAAGGCGUGAGAUUAAGUAUAGGAGAAUAAAAGCCACCCCCCCACACCCUGGCACUUUGUGGAGGAACUCAUAAAUGCAUAUUCAUGCUGUGACUCUUUUGCAGUGUGGCAUAUUUUCUUGCUGUUCAACCGUAUGUUUACACCCACUGGCAGUGUUUGCUGCCAUGGCUGAAAUUCUUGUAGUGCCUGCAGUAGGCAACAGGUUGCGGUCAACCAAGCCGACAUGUGACCAUUUACAAAGUGCAGUAUUGGUAGUAUUUAUGAUGAUGAUGUGACUAGUGAUGAAUGUCUCGCUUCCAAGUGUUCAGGCCAUAGCACAUACAUCGGCUCAUUGUUUGUUGAUUAAUCAUUGCAUUUUCUUAUAACCGAGCUGAUUAGAUUGUCUUACUUUCCACCUUCCCUGGUUGCCCAGAAGCUAUGGCACUGCACUGUCGAGCUCGCGGUCAUGGGUUUGAUGUUGGCCCCGACAGCUGCAUUUCAAUGAAAGACAAAUGCAAAUGCCACUGUGGCAUGAUUGGUCCAUCAACGCCCAGAAUUUAAUUCUAUUCCAAUAAGGACAGUCGUCCAUGCUUUUAUAUUUAUCUCAAGAAGCGUUUGUGUAAUGCCUUGAAAACAUUAUAAAGUGAACUUUCUGUUCAUUCAUUUCAUACAGUAAUUUUGCGUAUAUAUCUACUGUGAAGUCUCUCAACUCUUAGUUGCUCUACAAAGCCAUUUUUUAAGUGCUAUGACAGAUUAAGACAGCAUUCUUGGUUGCCAUUGUCUUCACCUCAAUUCCAAUGCGUAGACUGCAUUUAGUAUUCAAAAUCAUUGUGUUCGAAGGCUCAGAAUGCAUCCACUGCAGCACGCACAAGCCAUUUUGUGCAGCUGAAUAUUUGUUUUUUACGGAAGCCGCACUUCGAGGGUUGUGGACACACGCUACUGUGCAGUCCACAUGAGUAAAAACACAAGCACAGAUGGGCAGGCCUAUGCGGGGGGAUGUUUUUUUUUUGCAAUAUAAGCCACUACAAAUAUUCAAGAGGUUUAGGAGAAAGUGAAGGUACCACUAAUUAUAUGUUUAGCAUUCAAAUGCAACUUCACAGCAAUGCAUAGAUGCGAAGCAGCAUUUGGAGGACAAGUUCAAGUUGCCAUGAAGCCAUACUGCGUUUCAAGAAAGAGAUGCGUGUUGUUGUUUCUAAACCUUGAUUGUGCCAAGAACUGUGCCAGGUUAAUUUUCAAAGAAAAUAUAUUACCUGUGCAGCUACCUGCAAGUUUGUUUGUUUUUCUUUCUGAUGCCUUAGUUCACCAUAUGGCUUUGUGAAAAGGCAGCCUGUAGAUGUAAAAAUAUAGUACGUGAUACGACACUAAGAAAUGAGUACUGUGUUGAUCUUGGUUCUCGUUAUCAUACUUUCUUUUACGCUACCAUGGUUGUGCAGCCCACUGUUGCAGUGGUGCAUAGCUGCCAGCUUCACCUAAGCUGACAUUCGUUAGAUCUAGUUCAUUCCUGCGCUGUUGUACAAUAUUCUGCCGUACUGGUGUCCUACAUCCUCCAUGUUGCUGCAGAAAGCAGCGUGUUGUGAUACCGAACCUUUUGUGUUAGCGACAGCAACCCCGUGUAAACUACAAAUGGAGUCAGAAGUAAAGAGAGCCGUGCUCUAACAUCUCACUGUGCCGAUGCAUGUUUUAAUUAGGAAAACUUUUGCAUUUACGCAUAACCAUGUCGGGCUAAAGUUGUGCGUGUGAAUACAGCACCUGCACUUAACCAAUUUCAUUCAUUAAUGAAAAGAAGAAAUUGUGAUAAAUUCACCUGUAGCGUGGAGCUACAAAGAAGACCCCGACAAAUUUCUUAGAAAGAAGCCCUUCAGUUGCCGAAAAACCUGCCCCGGCCCGGGAUUUUUUGCUGACUCAGAGCAUUUUUCUUUCUGUAAAAUUUCACGUGGGCAUACUACAAAGUGUGGAUUACAAUUUUUCCCUUUUAAGAACGCUCCCCAACCCUGUGGACUUCCACAGAACUGAUUUGCCCUGUUCAGUAUUUAUUCUGGCCAGAUACUAAAACAAUUUAUGAAAGAUUUCUUGCAUUCUAAGAGGACAUAUUCUGGUGACUGUUUACAGCAGAUUCCCUAGGUACGCACUAUAAUGUCUAACGAAAGAUUUGCAAACAUUGUCUAACUCCACAUAAGCUGAAGCAUUCUUUUUACAACUCUGCAGUCUUGCUAUAAAGGUAUUAACAAAUUCUGUUGAGCAUCUAGAUUAAAUUGUUAUUCUUCAAAAUCUGCUAGUUUGUGAAUGAGAGUGGCAUUUAAAGAAUAAGUCGGUUUACAGUGAUAAAUUAUUCUCUGAAAACUCUAUCAUCGGUAAUUUUGCCAUUAUAGGUAAAUUAUUAUUAGAGAAAAUGAAGGUCAAUGUUACAUUUUAAAAUUUCGCGCCGAAACCCCAGUAGUGAAUAUUGGCGCGACGGUCAAGUGUUUGAGACUUUUAUUCGUAUUCUGGCCACAUUAACUUAAAAAGACACUUCCUAAACUUGCCACGCUAUCUCUUUGGCUCCUACAGAACACAAUUUAGCUAAUUCUUACUGAUGAGUGGUUAUGUAUGCCCUAGCAGAUAUCAAUAUCUAUGACAUCACAACAACUUGGUGCAGAGACUUCAAGGUGGAAUCACCACCUGUAUUUUUCUUUCGCGUGUUUUCUCGCUUGCCGAUUGAGCGUCUUCUUAUGGCAAGACUACCGUCCCGAGCAAGCACCCCCUUCCUCUUUUUGGGACAUUUAAAAUACGCGCGAAGGACCGAGCAAGCACCCCCCUCCACUCCCUCAAUUCUUUUUUCAACCUGUUCUCCGCUACAGAACCCUGCUAGGAACCCAAGUUCUGAGAGCCUUUAGAUAUGUGCGCAGUUUCUGAGUGUUUUUAGUGUGGAGCCUCGGGAUUGCAUUCUGAGUUGUCACAAAUCGUCGCAACAUUUGAAAAACGUCUUUCCCCCUUGUGAAAACACAUGAAAUUUCACAUGGAUUCCCUCCGAUUAAGUAAAAACAGUAAAUGCAUGUCAUAAAUUGUGUACUCAGUAAAGAUUUUCAUUAGAUGCACAGCUGCCAUUUUUCAUAGAAGCUCUCCUGCCGCCAUCUUGAACUUUGGCCCGCGACCGAGCAAAGCCCUCCCCCCCCCCAAAUCUUGACCAAUUAUUAGGGGUGUGCGAAUAUUCGAGUUUCAAAUUUGAAUCAAAUAAUACCUGAUCAAAUAAUUCGAUUUGACUUUCGAAUAGCUAGUAUUUGAAGUUUCGAAUAAUUCGAGAGGACGAAUAUCAACUUGGUUAGGGUGGGGUGGUAAAACUAACACUAGCGCCGCGACCAGUAGGCCUUUCUUUAAAAUUUUCACCGAUAUCCUGGUUCAAAAGCGAGAACUUGUUUAUUUUAAAGAAGAUUGUCAUUUCCGCACGUAAAAAAAGCAGACAUGAGAAAACUACCAAGCCCUUCACAAUUUCGCUUCCGAAACGAAGGCACGGACUUAUUGCGUAGUUCGGUCACGUAUGCCGCAAGCACCGUAAAACGUCCCGACUUUGGCCCGUGAAACCCUCGGUGAUUGGCUUCACAUGUGAAUAUUUGUUCACGCUGUGCACUCGCCCCUGUCACACCACAUCACUCAUUCAUAAAAUCCCAUUGCUCCGGCGUGCAGUUAAAACAUUGCUGUGACCGGGCGACCGAAGAUUUUAGAGCCCGGAAUACUCAUGACAAUGAAGCACAACAUUACCGUUGUCAGAUUACCGCUAGGAGGUUAGGAGUGCCGCUGCUGACUGGAAUGUCGGCUCCUGCGCUGCCAUAAAAGCUGGGGUAAAAAAAAAAAAGCCCUUCCAAACAAGCACGUAAUAAAGCUGCCACCUCGCCGUCGCUUCAGAUUUUUCCUUUGUUUUGUCGCAACAGGAGGUACACGUUUUGUGUGGAUAAGAUAGUUGUGUUUCUGCAUGACAAUCUGAAGUCUUUCGAUAGCACUCACGCCGUUGUGUGCUCGAGAACAUGAGCAGAUUUUAUUUCUUUGUUCUUUUUUUCAAUUUUGAAAAAAACAAAUGAAAUGAAAUGAACAAAUGCAAUGAAAUGAACAUUGCUUAACUGCAGUGUUCAUUUCACCUGUGGAGUCACAAACGUGGCACUUCAACCUUUUGCAUACGUGUUGCUGCUUCUGCUUCAAUCAGUCACUUAAAUUUAUCUGUUUAUUUAUUUUCAUAUGCAACAAAUCUGUCAAAGAAGUUCAGCAGUGGUCUGAGAAGAGACCAUUGCAUUUCAAAUGCAUAUGAAUGGUCAGAGUAUAAGCUGAACCUUGUUUCCUCGGAAAAGACGCAGAGUAUCACCUCGGCACACUUUACGUCUUAGCACGUCUCGUCUGCAUCUGGCUCCAGCAGUUUUGUGCGUACGAUGAUUCCAUUCCUCAUAUCACUGCACGAUUGCAAUGCAAACAAAAACCAAAUGUUGUGUCACAGUGUUGAAACUGUUUCUAAUGCAGCGUUCAGUGUUCAAGGUACAUUAAGCAAAAACUUUUGUAAUGCAGCACUUGCAAAAGACUCCUCCCAGUUGAGCACAAGUGUUCGUUCCUACUUGUGUUGUCGCGCACUCUUGUGGCUUUGGGUGGACCUUUCGUGGCAUUGUUGUAAACACGUGUAUUUGAUGUACAAACCACACCAGUGUACAGCCAAUAAACAUUUUGCACCUGUA